rnacentral:rRNA from 1 species
AGUGAACGCUGGCGGUAGGCCUAACACAUGCAAGUCGAACGGCAGCACAGUAAAAGCUUGCUCUUACGGGUGGCGAGUGGCGGACGGGUGAGGAAUACAUCGGAAUCUACUUUUUCGUGGGGGAUAACGUAGGGAAACUUACGCUAAUACCGCAUACGACCUACGGGUGAAAGCAGGGGAUCUUCGGACCUUGCGCGAUUGUAUGAGCCGAUGUCGGAUUAGCUAGUUGGCGGGGUAAAGGCCCACCAAGGCGACGAUCCGUAGCUGGUCUGAGAGGAUGAUCAGCCACACUGGAACUGAGACACGGUCCAGACUCCUACGGGAGGCAGCAGUGGGGAAUAUUGGACAAUGGGCGCAAGCCUGAUCCAGCCAUACCGCGUGGGUGAAGAAGGCCUUCGGGUUGUAAAGCCCUUUUGUUGGGAAAGAAAAGCAGCAGGUUAAUACCCCGCUGUUCUGACGGUACCCAAAGAAUAAGCACCGGCUAACUUCGUG